UAGGUCAUCACUUCUGGAAUGGGUAAUGACUUAAAUCUAUAUGGCCCCUGGAUUGGACUGCGGCCGAUCAGGCUGUUGGUGAGGUAAUGGCCCACCAAACCUGUAACCGGUACGGGCUCUGAGAGGAGGAGCCCGGAGAUGGGCACUGAGACAAGGGCCCAGGCCCUAUGGGGCGCAGCAGGCGCGAAACCUCUGCAAUAGGCGAAAGCCUGACAGGGUUACUCUGAGUGACUUUCGCUAAGAAAGUCUUUUGGCACCUCUAAAAAGGGUGCAGAAUAAGGGGUGGGCAAGUCUGGUGUCAGCCGCCGCGGUAAUACCAGCACCCCGAGUGGUCGGGACGAUUAUUGGGCCUAAAGCAUCCGUAGCCGGUUCUGCAAGUCCCCCGUUAAAUCCAGCUGCUCAACAGAUGGGCCGCGGAGGAUACUACAGAGCUAGGAGGCAGGAGAGGCAAGCGGUACUCAAUGGGUAGGGGUAAAAUCCGUUGAUCCAUUGAAGACCACCAGUGGCGAAGGCGGCUUGCCAGAAUGCGCUCGACGGUGAGGGAUGAAAGCUGGGGGAGCAAACCGGAUUAGAUACCCGGGUAGUCCCAGCCGUAAACGAUGCAGACUCGGUGAUGGGUUGGCUUCGCGCUAACCCAGUGCCGCAGGGAAGCCGUUAAGUCUGCCGCCUGGGUAGUACGGUCGCAAGACUGAAACUUAAAGGAAUUGGCGGGGGAGCACCACAAGGGGUGAAGCCUGCGGUUCAAUUGGA
rnacentral:rRNA from 1 species